rnacentral:lncRNA from 1 species
CACUUCCUGUGCCUCCUGCCUGCCCUGACCCCAGCAUGAAAUCCCCUUACUCCAGUAUGAAGAAUCAGAGAGCACCUAAUGCCAGACAUGGGAUUCAGUCACCAGGGUGUGAAAAAGCCCUGGCUACAUGAGGAGGCACACAUGGAGAAGAACAAGUGCCCAGGGACUAAACCCAGGGCCAACAGCUAACCAGCCAGCCAGCAAUGAGUCAUCCUAGAAGCAGAUCCAACAGCAGCUGAGCUGCCCUCUAAAUGUGAAAAUCCCAAGGUUCUGGAUCCAAGACAUCGGGAGACCUGUGCUUUACCCCCAGGAACUUCUAACAGGGCCAGCUUGGGGAGAGUUGGAAUGAUCAGCUAGGCCAUUCUGGGACCUUGGCACAUCAUUUGUUCCCAUUCUUCAGACAAACAGAGCCAACGGCAUCCUUUAAACAGAUAACACCAGCCUGGUGGUCUCUUCCAAAGAAAAGGCAGAUGGGAAGAAAGAAAAAAGAAGCAAAGGAAGGAAGGAAGGGAUCAAGAAAACAUGCAAAGCAUCACUGUUGUUCUUUUCCAUGGUAAAUCAGAAAGCCUCAAGGUCAAAUUCUUGUGAGCUGUAAAACACAGUGAAGGAGGUGGUAAAAGACAUUGGUGGGAGCUAUGGCAAAUAGAGAAACAUUUGUGAGGGGACCACCACCCCACAACUCAUCUCCAGUCUACAGCUGAAUGGGGAAAGCCUCUUGCAGUGUAUCAGUCUUCUGGCUGUAGGGAGAAGUUCCAAAUCCACUCUUUAAAUAAUGCAUCAGCUAAUGCAAGCAUGUAUAUGAACCACCUCUGGAUAUGUAGAAAGAACUGUAGCUGUGUUGCAGGGUUCUAAAGUGAAUAAAAUAAGACAGAAUCAACAAUUAUUUGUGAAUAUAUAUAUAUAUAUGAAAAAUCUAUAAACAUAAUACAAAAUAGGUCUAGUGAAAAGCAGC